GAUGAACGCUGGCGGCGUGCCUAAUACAUGCAAGUCGAGCGAACAGACGAGGAGCUUGCUCCUCUGACGUUAGCGGCGGACGGGUGAGUAACACGUGGAUAACCUACCUAUAAGACUGGGAUAACUUCGGGAAACCGGAGCUAAUACCGGAUAAUAUAUUGAACCGCAUGGUUCAAUAGUGAAAGACGGUUUUGCUGUCACUUAUAGAUGGAUCCGCGCCGCAUUAGCUAGUUGGUAAGGUAACGGCUUACCAAGGCAACGAUGCGUAGCCGACCUGAGAGGGUGAUCGGCCACACUGGAACUGAGACACGGUCCAGACUCCUACGGGAGGCAGCAGUAGGGAAUCUUCCGCAAUGGGCGAAAGCCUGACGGAGCAACGCCGCGUGAGUGAUGAAGGUCUUCGGAUCGUAAAACUCUGUUAUUAGGGAAGAACAAAUGUGUAAGUAACUAUGCACGUCUUGACGGUACCUAAGCAGAAAGCCACGGCUACUACGUG
rnacentral:rRNA from 1 species